GUUCGUGCGCUAUUGGAGCGUAAAGAGGCAGAGGCAGCCACAGCUGCAGCUGGCGCCCAGACAAUGGAGACGCCCAGCAGUCCUGAAGACAACUCCUCGCGGCAGAUUGACAAAUGUGUGCCACGCUUCAUCAUCUGGAAGAAAGAAGAAAGAAAAGCCUGAAAGGCAAGACACACAAAUGUGACAGCCGACAGUUGUAUACACUUAUGCGUACAGUGGGGCAUGCGCUGCACUGAAAUUCAAUUUGCGCUAACAAAGGGCAAGACCUUAGACCGUUCGCUGCUGACCUUUUACGCGACUCGAAUUCCUAAGCGUUAGCACGAAAUACACAAUUUCAAAUGCACGAAACGAAUUGAAUUGGAGGCAACUUCAAUGAUGAUGAUGAUAUAUAUAUGACUAUAUUAUAAACAUGCAUAUAAAUAGUUACAGUGAAAGCUCGACAGAGUGCACUGAAAUUACAAACAGCUAAAAAGGGUUUACUUGCACUAAAGCCUCUGCUCUAGGCAGCUGUUCGUUAGCAGAGCUUUCACUGUACUCAGCUAUAUUUUGUAUUUGGUUUCUUUUUUCUAUCUUAAGUGAAGGCCUUCUGUCAUUAACCAAGAUUUCGGCUGUGCCACCUUUCACCAGCUGUGGUGAAGCAAUUGUCCAUUGUUGCGGCUGCUAUUGCUACUGUUGCUGCUGCUGUUGCUGUUGCUGUUGCUGUUGCUGCUGAUGCUGUUGCUGCUAUUGCCGUUGUUAUUGUUAUGAUUACCUCACAUUCCAGCUGUGAGCCUCGACAGUUGAUUUAUGAUUCACGCUUCAAGCAUCUCGCAUUGAUUUUAUUCAAAUUGCCUAUCCGCUGCAAGUGCAAAGCGAAUAAGCUGAAACAACAACAAAAACAUCUACAACAACAACAACAACAAUUCAAUUUGGCUUAUUAAAAUGCCAAUUGGUGCAUUGCGCGUGGGCCGACGUCGCAUUGUGCAAAAAUUGCAUGCCAAAAAAAAAAGAGAGAAGGAAAAAUAUUGCACAUAUGACAAACGGCCGCAAAAUGCCUAAGGCCGGCAGGCGCAAAGGGGGCGGGACUGAGCUGGGAACUUGGUUAGCUAGACGACAUUAAAGUCAAACAAA